AGAAUAGUCAGAAAACUUCUCAUAUUGAUAAACUCUUUUAUGCAAAUUUACAUUCUUUUUCUCUUGAUUCAGCAUCCUCCAAAUCCAAACUCAUGUAUGUUCUCCCUAUUUCUGCAAGUACACACCAGCAGGGUCUUAUAGCUCCAUCUGUGUAUAAUCCCUUUCUCCACUAGGAGACCCAGCAGUUUCCUAGCUAGUUUCUGUUGUGGCUUGAUCACAGUUACUGACCUAACAGCCAGGAGGGGAAGUGAGAAUAGACUAUAAAUGGGAUGAGCAGCCUUUAAGUUGUCUUCAAGCAGAAUGGAGUGGGUCACAUCUGCAGCUCCAUGUUUGGAGGCUCUGAAGUUUUAAGAUUCUCAAACGCACCAAGUUGAACUAACACAAAGGCUUCAGUCAGUCUCACUGGAAGCUCAAGAUAUGAUCCCUGUGUCAAGUCUUAACUCCUUGCUUCCCAGCUAGGGCCCAGGCCUUGGCAUAGCAGACUUGCCUAAGCCUCAGCUGCUUCUGCCCUCUGGCUGAAGGAGUUGAAACUCUCUUUGGAUGCUACCAUGACUCUUAUGACUCUGAUACUUUGCUUUAAUUUAAAUAGGUGAGUAGUUGUCCUUGGCCUUUUGCUUCUUUCUCCAGUGCUUGACAGCCUUCGGUCCUAAAGGGUGAAGGAAGCAUGCUCUAGCAGAGGGAGAAGUUGUACUGCAAUGCCAUCACAACACAGGCUUCAGACACUCCUACAGCCAGCUCUGGGUCUCUGAAGGUCCUCAGAGUUGUCUUGAUCUCAGGCCCAGGGGCUAGGGCCACCCCAGCCAAGAGGGACCAGUUAAUGGAGAAAACUUAAUCUUGGUACUUCAGCAUGCUCCAAGCUCAUCAUGUAUUUCCUGCUUUGGCCCUACAAUCAGCACAUUCCUCCUGGGACCCCUGGUUCCUUGGAUUGGAGAAGAGUACCAGAAACCAAGUUCUGGGCAUGAGGCAUGCUUGGGUAGGAUAACAGCACAUACCAGAGCUGAGUCAGGAGCAUUCUCUGAAAGCUGCUGCCAAGCCCCUGCAUCCCUGGACUGAGCGAGCAGGUUGGCACUGCCAUCUGGAACCUCUCUUCUACCUAGACAGCAAGCACAGAAGUGGAACUUUUGGGGAUUCAGUGGAGCUCAACCUCAUAAGCACAGCUCCUAUAAGAUCAGGGAGUCAUGGACGGGUUGCCAUGGACCAUGCCUUUCUACCCAAGCACAAAGAACUUGAUGGGGGUUCUGAGAAUGGAGAAAAGAAGGCUAGCUCCAAGAGCUGCAAGAGUUUUCCAGCAGCAGAAGAAACCAAAUGUGCCCAAGACUACCAGCUCUCCACCAAAGCUCAUUCCACACUCCUCCAAGAGUAUGGACUGGGUUACAAUUCCAAGUACAGAGAGAGAAGGUUGUCAUGUGACCAAAACCCAGCCAAAUGAAUGUGAGAAAAAAAUUGUAGGUAUCCUUUCAUUGCUCAGCGCGCCUCUUUGAACAUCUUCCUCCAAUCAGUGGCUGUCACUAAGAUGUACAUUCAAAUGAUGACAAUGACCUAUUUUUGAUGACUUUUUGGAGCACAGCUCAACUAUCCCUCCUGGACUGAUGUGUGGAAGAGAAAUAAACUUGUUUCAGUCUUUGCAUUUCUGAAUGCUAACAUUACUUUAUUAAGGUAUCAUUUAUAUAUAGCAAAGUAUAUACACCUUAAGUGUACAGUUUGGUGAAUUCGUGAAAAAGAUUACAUGAGCCAUCAGCCCACACUAUAUAUAAUAUUUCCAUCUUCCCUGGAAAUUUUCUCAUUGCUCUGUCUAGGCAGCCUCAUCCCUCAUCCCUACCUCUGCCCCUACCACCAGGCAAACACUGUUUUGAUUUUUAUCAACAUGAAUUAGUUUUGCCUAUUCCUAAAUCUCCUGUAAUGGAAAUAUAUAUGAGCUCACUAUGAACUCUGUUGUAUCUGACUUUUUUCAUUCAGUGUAAUGAUUUUGAGAUUCGCUCAUAUUGUUGAAUAUUAUCAGGAGUUUGUUCUUUUUUA